GUCUGCUGAGGCGAGAUGAACCGG
rnacentral:piRNA from 1 species